rnacentral:rRNA from 1 species
CCUACGGGAGGUGCAGUGGGGAAUAUUGCACAAUGGGCGCAAGCCUGAUGCGGCCACGCCGCGUGUGUGAAGAAGGCCUUCGGGUUGUAAAGCACUUUCAGCGGGGAGGAAGGCGGUGAGGUUAAUAACCUCAUCGAUUGACGUUACCCGCAGAAGAAGCACCGGCUAACUCCGUGCCAGCAGCCGCGGUAAUACGGAGGGCGCAAGCGUUAAUCGGAAUUACUGGGCGUAAAGCGCACGCAGGCGGUCUGUCAAGUCGGAUGUGAAAUCCCCGGGCUCAACCUGGGAACUGCAUUCGAAACUGGCAGGCUAGAGUCUUGUAGAGGGGGGUAGAAUUCCAGGUGUAGCGGUGAAAUGCGUAGAGAUCUGGAGGAAUACCGGUGGCGAAGGCGGCCCCCUGGACAAAGACUGACGCUCAGGUGCGAAAGCGUGGGGAGCAAACAGGAUUAGAUACCCGGGUAGUC